rnacentral:rRNA from 1 species
AACCCCAAAGCUAGCCAAAAAUAAAUUUAUACAUCCUCCAUUAUUAAUCUGAUAUAUACACCCCCCAUUAUCCAAAUUUAAAACAUUUUAUCCUUCUUAGUAUAGGCGAUAGAACAGAAC